CGUCGCCACGGUAAUACGUAGGUCCCGAGCGUUGUCCGGAUUUAUUGGGCGUAAAGCGAGCGCAGGCGGUUAGAUAAGUCUGAAGUUAAAGGCUGUGGCUUAACCAUAGUACGCUUUGGAAACUGUUUAACUUGAGCGCAGAAGGGGAGAGUGGAAUUCCACGUGUAGCGGUGAAAUGCGUAGAGAUGUGGAGGAACACCAGUGGCGAAGGCGACUCUUUGGUCUGUAACUGACGCUGAGGAGCGAAAGCGUGGGGAGCGAACAGGAUUAGAUACCCGCGUAGUCCCUGUCUCUUAUACAC
rnacentral:rRNA from 1 species